GUGGCUCUCUGCAAGCCUCUUAAUGGUGAUGGAAAGAAGAGGCAGGAAUGAAAAUCUGGCUUGCUGAUAGAGCCUACAACAUGCAUUUUAUUAAGUUGCUGCUUUCAGAAAGGAUGUUUCUCCUUGAGCCCUGUAUGUCACCAUUACAUUGCCAACACUAAAUUAUUUUUUUUUUCUUUUCAGUGUUCCACUUUCAUGCAUAUUUUCCUCCUUUCUGGGUGAUGGAGGAUUCAUAGGCCAUCUGGAUUCUGAAACAUCUGGACACUGAAUUUCUGCAGAGGAGAAUCAGAGGAAAGAGACGAUCAGUGGUACUGGGUGUCUCCGGAGAGAUUUAAAUCAACGAUGAUAUUUUGGUUGUCUCCCUCUUGGAACAUUAACACAAAACGUGAAAGGAAAAAACAACACAUCACAGGAACCCAGUGUUCCAAGAAUACCAAGACUAUAUAAGAAGAUGGGGCCUUUGUGGAAGUAAUUAAGGUUAAAUGAGGCCAUAAGAGAAGAGCCCUGGUCCAAGAGCAUUAACAUCCUUAUAAGAAGAAAUACCAAAGCUCAUUCAUUCUCUCUGCUAGUGAAGACACAGCAAGAUGGCAGCCAGUUACAAACCCGAAAGAGAGCUGGCACCAGAACCGCCCCAUGCUGGCACCCUGAUCUUGGACUUCCAGCCUACACAACUUGAACGGUGCUAUCACAAACAUCAACUUCUAACCAGAAAAAGGCAUCAUGAGGAAGUCUCUCCUUGGUCAUUUUAGGAACCCAAAAAACAAGUUGUAAGCAGAGAGAAAUAUUCCUUUUUCCACUGGAACUUAUUGAAGCAGGUCCCAGACCUGACCAGAAAGAUGCCUGAAUUGCCUUUUGAUUUUUGCACUUAUAGCCUUCGAUCAUGGGCAACUCUGGUGCUGACAACUAGGACUAAUAGCUCAGAAGUAAAGAAGUAAACAACGCUGAGUUUUUCUCACUUCACAGAAAUUCUGAAAUGACUCCAGAUUACCAUGAGCUCCUUGCUUCCCCUCUGCUUUUUUCACUCUGAGGAUUUGAAGUCAAGAGGCAACCAGCCCCUGAGGUGUAAACAACAGGAGAUUACUCAUUGAUGGUAUAAACAGAAGAGGAGUACAGAAGUUCAGGCCAGUACCCAGUUGUCAUCUAAAGAGAUACAUCAGCUACAAAGCCUGUCCAAACGGUCAUCACAAAUAGGUUUCAGAAUGUUUUAUAUGGACCUGAGCCAUGUUUUUACCUUGUCCGAAUACCGAAAAGAUGAUCUAUCACAGUGAAACGAACUUUCAAAUAACAAUAAAAAUUAUUUGAUUAGGAGGAAAGAACAGGGGUGGGGUGGGGAGGAAAUGAUUAACCUCCCCAUGACUCAUAUAGAGCCUGAGCCACUGGGGAUGAGUUGGCCACGAUAGAAUCUAUACCACACUACAGGCUGAAUUUCAACAAGUUAUUUAGGAUGACUUUGUGACUAAGCAUGAAAUUGGAAUUAUAUUGUCUCCUGUGUCCAAGUAUUAUAAACAUUUUUUCCUUCAUUAUUUCAGAUUUUUUUAAAUUCUUGUGCUUCUUUAGAAUGAGCUCACAAAAUAAAUGUACUUUGUAAACUACAAAAGAAAACGUAUGUCCUUUUAUUUCCAUCGUGUUGGAAGGAUUUGGUAAGGAAGGUUAAUGUGAACUAUUACUUAUUAUGUGGCUAUUAUUAUUAUUAUGACUAAUUAUUAUUACUAACUCUAAGCUAGUCCUCCACAUCCAAAACACUUUGCACCUGCAAAACAAGACAUUCAUUCAAAUUUAAUUUGUAUUUCUUCCUUUGUUCUCAAUCCAGUCUGAUUUCAACUAGUUUUCCCUCGCCUCCUAACCCAUAGCCUAAACUUUCAUUUGCUGCUGGUUCCUAGAAUUUGGGACUUGAUAUUGAAGGGAGAAAAACACCAUAAUUGUCUUAAGAAAUGCAUUUUAAAAGUAUUUAAUACUCAUUCAAAAUUUAUU